UUCGCCCUUAGAGUUUGAUCCUGGCUCAGGAUGAACGCUGGCGGCGUGCUUAACACAUGCAAGUCGAACGGAGCGGCUAUGAUUGAGGAUUCGUCCGAAUGAUUAGCUUGCUUAGUGGCGGACGGGUGAGUAACGCGUGAGGAACCUGCCUUUCAGUGGGGAACAACGAUUAGAAAUGAUCGCUAAUACCGCAUAACGUAUUUAAGGGGCAUCCCUAUAAUACCAAAGAUUUUAUCGCUGAAAGAUGGCCUCGCGUCUGAUUAACUAGUUGGUGAGGUAACGGCUCACCAAGGUGACGAUCAGUAGCCGGACUGAGAGGUUGAACGGCCACAUUGGAACUGAGAUACGGUCCAGACUCCUACGGGAGGCAGCAGUGGGGAAUAUUGGGCAAUGGGCGCAAGCCUGACCCAGCAACGCCGCGUGAAGGAAGAAGGCCUUCGGGUUGUAAACUUCUUUUAUCAAGGACGAUAAUGACGGUACUUGAUGAAUAAGCCACGGCUAACUACGUGCCAGCAGCCGCGGUAAUACGUAGGUGGCAAGCGUUAUCCGGAUUUACUGGGUGUAAAGGGCGUGUAGGCGGGAUCGCAAGUCAGAUGUGAAAAUUAUGGGCUCAACCCAUAACCUGCAUUUGAAACUGUGAUUCUUGAGUGAUGGAGAGGUAAGUGGAAUUCCCAGUGUAGCGGUGAAAUGCGUAGAUAUUGGGAGGAACACCAGUGGCGAAGGCGACUUACUGGACAUUAACUGACGCUGAGGCGCGAAAGCGUGGGGAGCAAACAGGAUUAGAUACCCUGGUAGUCCACGCUGUAAACGAUGGAUACUAGGUGUGGGAGGACUGACCCCCUCCGUGCCGCCAGUAACACAAUAAGUAUCCCACCUGGGGGAGAUCGAUCGCAAGAUUGAAACUCAAAAGAAUUGACGGGGGGCCCGCCCAAGCGGGUGGAGUAUGUGGUUUUAUUCGAAGGCAACGCGGAGAACCUUGCCAGGGCUUGACUUCUUGAGGCCCGGUGUAGAGAUACACCCUUCUCUUUGGAGACCUCGGUGACAGGUGGUGCAUGGUUGUCGUCAGCUCGUGUCGUGAGAAGGUUUGGGUUAAGUCCCGCAACGAGCGCUACCCCUGUUUUUGGUUGCUACGCAAGAGCACUCUAGCGAGGACUGCCGUUGACAAAACGGAGGAAGGUGGGGACGACGUCAAAUCAUCAUGCCCCUUAUGUCCUGGGCCACACACGUACUACAAUGGUGGCUAACAGAGGGAAGCAAUGCUGGGAAGUGGAGCAAAUCCCUAAAAGCCAUCCCAGUUCGGAUGGCAGGCUGAAACCCGCCUGUAUGAAGUUGGAAUCGCUAGUAAUCGCGGAUCAGCAUGCCGCGG
rnacentral:rRNA from 1 species